rnacentral:rRNA from 1 species
UACAGGGGGGGCAAGCGUUGUUCGGAAUUACUGGGCGUAAAGGGUUCGUAGGUGGCCACUUAAGUCAGACGUGAAAUCCCUCAGCUUAACUGGGGAACUGCGUCUGAUACUGAGUGGCUUGAGUGCAGGAGAGGAAUGCGGAAUUCCAGGUGUAGCGGUGAAAUGCGUAGAUAUCGGGAGGAACACCUAUUGCGAAGGCAGCUCGCUGGGACGUUACUGACGCUGAGACGCGAAAGCGUGGGGAGCAAACAGG